UACGCCGGCUGCAAGCUUUAUCCGGAUUUAUUGGGUUUAAAGGGUGCGUAGGCGGCCUUAUAAGUCAGUGGUGAAAUCUCGUUGCUUAACAACGAACGUGCCAUUGAUACUGUAGGUCUUGAGUACAGAUGCCGUUGGCGGAAUGUGUCAUGUAGCGGUGAAAUGCAUAGAUAUGACACAGAACACCGAUUGCGAAGGCAGCUGACGAAACUGUAACUGACGCUGAGGCACGAAAGCGUGGGGAUCAAACAGG
rnacentral:rRNA from 1 species